CCUUCUGUUUUUUUUUUCCUUCCGUUCCUUUUUCGUUUCCUUCUUCACUUCAAUUUCUCGUAAAUACAAAAAGGAAUCCUGUACAUUCCCACGUUGAAUCAAUUGUAAAAUCGAUUGUGUAUUUUGUU
rnacentral:ribozyme from 14 species